GGGAGCUUAGUGUUUGCUUACUA
rnacentral:siRNA from 1 species